GAGAAAAGAAGAGGGAGGAGAGGAAACAAAGUAGAACACUUGGAAACACCUCAGGUGCCAGAGGCCCAAAGUUCUAUUCUUGGCCAUUCCGAACACGAACACGCCUUCAGCCAUCCUGCCUGUCUCCAGAAGAGGACCUGACACUUCUUAUGGGUGUUUUCCUGAAUGGGCGGGGUUGCAGUUCAUGUAGGACAGCGAUAGGCUCCCAGAGACGUCAUUCUCCGUUAGUUUCGGCCAAUCUGCCAAUAGACAAGAAACCUGCGCCGGCUUCUGUUCGGUUUUGCUAAAAGCCGAAGGUACUCACAAGGGAACCAGCUCUCCUGGUUGGUCCAGCCCACCACCUUGGGAUGCCAACCUCCCAUGACUCUGUGACAUCACACAUCACAUAUGCGUUCAUGGGUGAGGCCCUAGGAUAGCAUUUCAAUCUGUCAUGGACCACUCCUGCCUCUGGACACUUCCUCUCCAGCCUCUUCUCUUCUGCCUCACUUCCUCUCCAGCUGAUCCUUAGAGCAUUCCAGCACUGGCCUCUCAUGAUCCAUUCCUUUAUUGUGGGCCAUAAAUGUCAGUGCUUUGUUCUGGUCCUUCUC